AAGAGCUGAUGUUGCAGCUCAAGUCCAAAGGCUGUCUGUUGACAAAAUUCCCUCUUGUUUGGGGAAGAUCAGUCUUUUGUUCUACUGAGGCCUUCAACUGCUUGGAUGAGGCCCACCCACAUUAUGGAGGGCAAUCUGCUUUACUCAAACUAUACCAAUUUAAAUGUUAAUCUCAUCCAAAAACACCCUCACAGAAACAUCCAGAAUAAUGUUUGAUCAAAUAUCUAGGCACCGUGGACCAGUCAAAUUGAUGCACAAAAUUAACCAUCUGUACUCUGUAUGCCCACUGCAAGUAUGUUUUGACCUUGUAGGGAUGUCCAAUCCAUUGAUCCUACCACUUUUAAAAACCCCUGACAUCACCCUUUGUCCACUCUUCCUUCCUUGCCAGAUUAAUCAUGCACUGCGAACACUCUGCACUCCUUUACCCCUUUCAUUCUUCAGACUCAAGAACCUACCUACUUUGUGCUACGUCAAUAUAUUCUAUUGACUUUCCAUCAGCAACACUAAAUGUAAGAAAAGAAUGAAACAACUUCUUCAAAAUUUCUGUGGGAAAAUAAUUUUGAGCCAAGAAUGCGAACUAACAUUAAGACCUGUAAGGAUUCAGAAAGUUUACCACCCACUGAAUUUCUCAGAAAGAAUUACGAGAGCAUAGGUUCCAGCAAAGUAAAAAAAAAAUACCUUCACUUCUUGAAGUUCUGAUACUGUCAUCCAUCAUUGCUAGAAAAGAAGAAAAAUGUAUUAAAUAGCAUUUACUUUCAUUGAAUGGAGUGUUUUCUAUGAUUUCUAUUAUUAAUUGCAUUUAAUUAAUUGCAAAAACUCAAUUUCUGAUCCCCCUAUUACAUUAUUAGUUUCAUCAACUAAUUAUUAGUAUGUUUUUAUAAUAAUAUCUGAAAGCAAGUUUUAAAGUUGUGUUUAAAUUGUGUCAGGUUUUGCCAUGAGAUUUGUCGUGUGAUUGUUAGAAAAUGACUUAGAAAAGUAAUUGAUCAGCUUAGCCUCUCUCUUCACAUAAAACAGUUGUAAACCCUGUGGGUAUAUCCAGAGAUCAAGGAUUUCAGUGCUCUGGGUUUCAGACUGGGUGGGUGCUAAAGGAAGAGCAUUGCUUUUGUGAAUAUCCAGCCACCCUCAAAUGCUGCCUCUGCUUCGAAACUGAUUCUGAAAUGAGAGUCAUGGGUACAUUUUGGCCUGGGGCAGGAUAGGGGAGAAGAGAGAGACAUCCUUCUUCC
rnacentral:lncRNA from 1 species